GUGUCUUUGGGUUCUCCCUUCUCCCAACACAAAGUUGCAGACCCAUUAUUCAUCGCAAACCAAUCUCUCUCCCUCUCGCUUUGAAGCUUCUUCUUCUCUGCUUCACGUUCGUUCGCUUCCCGAAGAUUCUACGAUUCGUUUUCCGUUUCUGUUUUCAGUGUCUAGAAGUUUAUGGUUUUCUGAAUUUGACGAAAAAUUGCAAGAUCUGCUGGAGUAACGUGAUAACAAAGCACAUCCAAGCCAUUUUGAACUCUUUGUACUCAUUUUUACUGGGACUUGACUAGAGAUUGGGAGUUGAGUUGGAUGAAUAUGUGGCUAGGAGCAUGAAGAUUAAUUAUGUAGUCGGCUCCUACCUUGAUCCCCUUACCGUUAAAGUAUACUGAUCGGACACAUGUUCAAGGACAGUCACCAUAUGCCUCUGGUUCUCCAUCAAAAGCCGUCUGCAUUUCUGAUAUUACUUAGUUAUAGAUAUUAUUUCUAGUUGAAGACUUAUGAAGCAUAUUAUGAAAGUGCUUCAUUUGUUCAUGUUAGUU